AGAAGCCUCCGCUCCACCGCGGCGAGAGGCAUGGGCACGUGGCUGCCGAGGGUGGCCGAGCUCUGGGAAGAAAAGCCCGUGUGCCUCUGCGUAGCGUCGCUACAGCGCUGACUCGGUGUGGAUUGAUUGGAAAGGUUUGAGGGAGUACUUGGGAAGCAUGGUGGCACAUGAUGAGACUGGAGGUCUCCUACCUAUUAAAAGGACCAUACGAGUCCUAGAUGUCAAUAACCAGUCCUUCAGAGAACAAGAGGAGCCAAGCAAUAAAAGAGUUCGACCUCUGGCUCGUGUCACGUCCUUGGCAAAUUUAAUCUCUCCUGUAAGAAAUGGAGCUGUCAGACGUUUUGGUCAAACAAUACAGUCAUUUACCCUUCGUGGUGACCACAGAUCCCCAGCCUCUGCCCAGAAGUUUUCUAGCAGGUCAACAGUCCCAACACCCGCCAAGAGAAGGAGCAGUGCACUGUGGUCAGAGAUGCUGGACAUCACCAUGAAGGAGUCUCUCACCACCAGGGAGAUCAGACGGCAGGAGGAAUGACCUCUGAUGUUUGCUGGAUGUUUUUAGGCAAUAUAUGAAAUGUCCCGAGGUGAACAGGAUUUAAUUG
rnacentral:sRNA from 1 species